rnacentral:lncRNA from 1 species
GGCGCCGGGAAGGCGGAGGCGCCAGGACGACCGCGGCCAGCUCCGCUCGCUCUGCUCACCUGCGCCCCUGCCCACAGCGCUCCGCAGUCAGGAGCGCCCCGCCCCGCGGGGAACGCCCCGGGCCCCUCGGGGUCCCCCUGGUCUCUCCUACUUCCCUUCUGGAAGGUGGCCAACACUUCUGGGCCGCCCGGGUGGACCUCAAAGAGAACGUCUUUAAAUGUCCAGUGGCCAAGGGUUCUGUAGCCGACUAGGAGUCAGCGUCCGAAUCGGAACAACUCAAGACCUCUUUUCAGGGGGCGUCCAGUGAGUUUUUUUCAGCAAGGUGACUCCCCCUGUGGCUGCCUGCUACUACAGCUGGAAAGGUCCAAGCUGAAAUGUGACUAAUCUGAGUUUCUUCCACCAAGCAUGUUAGUUAGGGGUGGAGGACUAGAACCUAGAACCCUGAAUUCGAGCCUGGAAGAUAUGUAAGCCACAUGCUAUUGAGAUCGUGGUCAUGGGACACCCGCUAACACAAACCUUCUGGUAGGAAGUUUUUGAGAAGACUGGGUCCAAUAUCCCCAAGCUAAAAUCCCACUGGCCCAUCGCUGUGUUUGCUCAGAAAAGGAAUCUGGGUUCUUUGGUUUCUGCUUUCCAGUUGACCCUGGUUGCUCCUCUGUUUUACGGCAUUUUGGGAGUCAGUCUCCCAGAGCAGCGCUGAUUGUAAUGAGAAGCGCGUUCCCUCUCUGGGGGACAGGAGCAGUGGGAGACAAAUGGGCCUGGGAAAGAGCUCCUCCAAAUAAAACUUAUUCGACAGAUACGGGUUAUGGUGGUGAUGGUGGUGGUGGUGGUGGUGGUGGUGGUGUUUUGGUCUUUAUCCUGUUGUACAGCGCCUCAUUUUUUACAAUGUGGGCCAGUAACUAUUUCGUAUCACCUACUCUGACCACCUUCAGGGUUGUUAUGAGGCUCAAAGGAACUGCUGCUGUGAAAAAACAUGCUUUGCAAUUUAUGAAGCACUGGAUAAACAUCAGGAACGGUAUAAAAGCAUGCUGCUUACUCAAGAAAUACUAGUUGAGUGCCUGUGUGUUGGGCACUGGCUAGAGAUAAGGGUCUCCUAUGGACAGAAGUGCGGGCAAGGAGCUUUGUUCCUCCCCGAUGUCACCCUCCCACAGCCCACUUGCUAGCAGGCGAGAGAGGGGUGGAGGCCGGCAGUAAGGCAUGUACUGAACUGGACCUCUGGUGGAAUGGCAUCACCCACGCUGGGCUUGACUCUUACCAUCAGGGUCCUGCCAACCCUUCAGUGAGACUUUUUCCAAAGAAUCCCUUUUAAAAUGACCUCAAGCUGACCUUCCUGCUGCAGAUUCCACAUAUGGUAUCUGAGACUCACACAGUGUGGUUGGAAGAUAGUACAGUGACCUCCCAGGCACAGCCCGCUGCCAGCCCUCCACUGGCUGCCCUAGGAUGCUGGCCUUCCUCCGAUGGGAGUCGGGCCCAGUCUGCUGUCAGCCAGGAGAAGCCAGCAAGCUCCCUGCGAGGCCUGGAGGAGCCCUUCUCACUCAGCUUGGUGUUCGAUGCCAGUGCCCCCGCCCAUUGUGGGGUGAGGGUGGGACUCUCAGCACAGCCCUGUCCAAAUAAAUCCUCUAAAG